rnacentral:rRNA from 1 species
UGAGGAAUAUUGGUCAAUGGGCGCAAGCCUGAACCAGCCAUGCCGCGUGCAGGAUGAAGGCCCUAUGGGUUGUAAACUGCUUUUGUAUGGGAAUAAACCCUCUUACGUGUAAGAGGCUGAAGGUACCAUACGAAUAAGCACCGGCUAACUCCGUGCCAGCAGCCGCGGUAAUACGGAGGGUGCAAGCGUUAUCCGGAUUCAUUGGGUUUAAAGGGUGCGCAGGCGGGGGUUUAAGUCAGUGGUGAAAUCCCGUAGCUCAACUACGGAACUGCCAUUGAUACUGAAUCUCUUGAGUCUGGUUGAUGUGAAUGGAAUGUGUCAUGUAGCGGUGAAAUGCUUAGAUAUGACACAGAACACCAAUCGCGAAGGCAGUUCACAAAGCCAGUACUGACGCUCAGGCACGACAGCAUGGGGAGCAAACAGG